AAAAGAACCCCGGCGAGGGGAGUGAAAAAGAACCUGAAACCGUGUACGUACAAGCAGUGGGAGCCCCACCACUAAGCCAGUGGUGAACUCCACAUACGCAUCCUUUGCUGAGGAUACGGUUAACGGAGCGAAAGCGACGUUCAACCGCAAAACAAGCAGAGGGGGCUUAGUGGUGGGGUGACUGCGUACCUUUUGUAUAAUGGGUCAGCGACUUAUAUUCUGUAGCAAGGUUAACCGAAUAGGGGAGCCGGAGGGAAACCGAGUCUUAAUUGGGCGUUAAGUUGCAGGGUAUAGACCCGAAACCCGGUGAUCUAGCCAUGGGCAGGUUGAAGGUUGGGUAACACUAACUGGAGGACCGAACCGACUAAUGUUGAAAAAUUAGCGGAUGACCUGUGGCUGGGGGUGAAAGGCCAAUCAAACCGGGAGAUAGCUGGUUCUCCCCGAAAGCUAUUUAGGUAGCGCCUCGUGAAUUCAUCUCCGGGGGUAGAGCACUGUUUCGGCUAGGGGGCCAUCCCGGCUUACCAACCCGAUGCAAACUGCGAAUACCGGAGAAUGUUAUCACGGGAGACACACGGCGGGUGCUAACGUCCGUCGUGAAGAGGGAAACAACCCAGACCGCCAGCUAAGGUCCCAAAGUCAUGGUUAAGUGGGAAACGAUGUGGGAAGGCCCAGACAGCCAGGAUGUUGGCUUAGAAGCAGCCAUCAUUUAAAGAAAGCGUAAUAGCUCACUGGUCGAGUCGGCCUGCGCGGAAGAUGUAACGGGGCUAAACCAU
rnacentral:rRNA from 1 species